UACGUAGGGUGCGAGCGUUAAUCGGAAUUACUGGGCGUAAAGCGUGCGCAGGCGGUUCGUUGUGUCGGCGGUGAAAGCCCCGGGCUUAACCUGGGAAUGGCCGUCGAAACUGGCGAACUGGAGUGUGGCAGAGGGGGGUGGAAUUCCGCGUGUAGCAGUGAAAUGCGUAGAGAUGCGGAGGAACACCGAUGGCGAAGGCAGCCCCCUGGGCUGACACUGACGCUCAGUCACGAAAGCGUGGGGAGCAAACAGG
rnacentral:rRNA from 1 species